rnacentral:rRNA from 1 species
UACGGAGGGGAGCUAGCGUUGUUCGGAAUUACUGGGCGUAAAGCGCGCGUAGGCGGCUUUGUAAGUUAGAGGUGAAAGCCCGGGGCUCAACCCCGGAACUGCCUUUAAGACUGCAUCGCUUGAAUCCGGGAGAGGUGAGUGGAACUGCGAGUGUAGAGGUGAAAUUCGUAGAUAUUCGCGAAGAACACCAGUGGCGAAGGCGGCUCACUGGCCCGAUACUGACGCGUGGAGGUGCGAAAGCGUGGGGAGCAACAGG